GUGGGGAAUCUUGCGCAAUGGACGAAAGCCUGACGCAGCCAUGCCGCGUGAAUGAUGAAGGUCUUAGGAUUGUAAAAUUCUUUCACCGGGGACGAUAAUGACGGUACCCGGAGAAGAAGCUCCGGCUAACUUCGUGCCAGCAGCCGCGGUAAUACGAAGGGGGCUAGCGUUGCUCGGAAUUACUGGGCGUAAAGGGCGCGUAGGCGGACAGCUUAGUCAGAGGUGAAAGCCCAGGGCUCAACCUUGGAAUUGCCUUUGAUACUGGCUGUCUUGAGUUUGGGAGAGGUGAGUGGAACUCCGAGUGUAGAGGUGAAAUUCGUAGAUAUUCGGAAGAACACCAGUGGCGAAGGCGACUCACUGGCCCAAUACUGACGCUGAGGCGCGAAAGCGUGGGGAGCAAACAGGAUUAGAUACCCGGGUAGUCC
rnacentral:rRNA from 1 species